rnacentral:rRNA from 1 species
GACGAACGCUAGCGGCGUGCUUAACACAUGCAAGUCGAACGGUAAGGCUCCAGCUUGCUGGGGUACACGAGUGGCGAACGGGUGAGUAACACGUGGGUGACCUGCCCUGCACUUCGGGAUAAGCCUGGGAAACUGGGUCUAAUACCGGAUAGGACCGCACCGUGAGGGUGUGGUGGAAAGUUUUUUCGGUGUGGGAUGGGCCCGCGGCCUAUCAGCUUGUUGGUGGGGUAAUGGCCUACCAAGGCGGCGACGGGUGGCCGGCCUGAGAGGGUGGACGGCCACAUUGGGACUGAGACACGGCCCAGACUCCUACGGGAGGCAGCAGUGGGGAAUAUUGCACAAUGGGCGGAAGCCUGAUGCAGCGACGCCGCGUGGGGGAUGACGGCCUUCGGGUUGUAAACUCCUUUCACCAUCGACGAAGGGUUUCUGACGGUAGAUGGAGAAGAAGCACCGGCUAACUACGUG